GUGGGGAAUAUUGGACAAUGGGCGAAAGCCUGAUCCAGCCAUGCCGCGUGUGUGAAGAAGGUCUUCGGAUUGUAAAGCACUUUAAGUUGGGAGGAAGGGCAGUAAGUUAAUACCUUGCUGUUUUGACGUUACCAACAGAAUAAGCACCGGCUAACUUCGUGCCAGCAGCCGCGGUAAUACGAAGGGUGCAAGCGUUAAUCGGAAUUACUGGGCGUAAAGCGCGCGUAGGUGGUUCAGCAAGUUGAAGGUGAAAUCCCCGGGCUCAACCUGGGAACUGCCUCCAAAACUACUGAGCUAGAGGACAGUAGAGGGUAGUGGAAUUUCCUGUGUAGCGGUGAAAUGCGUAGAUAUAGGAAGGAACACCAGUGGCGAAGGCGACUACCUGGACUGAUACUGACACUGAGGUGCGAAAGCGUGGGGAGCAAACAGGAUUAGAUACCCUUGUAGUCC
rnacentral:rRNA from 1 species